AUAUUCUGGAUUCUCUUCAGAUCAUACAUCUUUUGCCCCUUACCAAAGAUUUCUAUGGAGAGGAACAAGCAUAAGUGUCUUGGAAUUUUCGGAGGCUUCUUGGUGGAGAGUUU